GGCGCCUCUUGGACCCUUUUGGGAAAGAGCUAUGCCUGGAGGUCAUGCUGGAGAAUGUAUGGAAUCUACUCUCUGUGGGGCUUCCAGUUCCUAGAGAAAAUUUUAUCUCCUUUUUUCUGCAAGGGGAAGCACCAUGUCUGCUAGAGCAAAAAGACCCAAGGAACUCCUGUCAAGAGGCUGAGACUCCUUUCGAAGUGAAGGAGAUAUCUACAAAGCUGAGCCUUUUUGUGGAAGGAUGUGGCCCCCAUAGAUGCAUGAAUGAGGGUCCCUGUGACUUCAUUUUGAGAGAAAUCGUUGACUCUAAUAUCAAGGUAAAUAAAAAUCCAAAGAGUGACUGUGAAGCUAAUGAAACUGCAGAGAAAUCCAGCCAAU